UACGGUUUUGAAAUUGGCUAC
rnacentral:piRNA from 1 species